rnacentral:rRNA from 1 species
AAAUUGAAGAGUUUGAUCAUGGCUCAGAUUGAACGCUGGCGGCAGGCCUAACACAUGCAAGUCGAACGGUAACAGGAAGAAGCUUGCUUCUUUGCUGACGAGUGGCGGACGGGUGAGUAAUGUCUGGGAAACUGCCUGAUGGAGGGGGAUAACUACUGGAAACGGUAGCUAAUACCGCAUAACGUCGCAAGACCAAAGAGGGGGACCUUCGGGCCUCUUGCCAUCGGAUGUGCCCAGAUGGGAUUAGCUUGUUGGUGGGGUAACGGCUCACCAAGGCGACGAUCCCUAGCUGGUCUGAGAGGAUGACCAGCCACACUGGAACUGAGACACGGUCCAGACUCCUACGGGAGGCAGCAGUGGGGAAUAUUGCACAAUGGGCGCAAG